AGUGAACGCUGGCGGUAGGCCUAACACAUGCAAGUCGAACGACAGCACAGUAAGAGCUUGCUCUUACGGGUGGCGAGUGGCGGACGGGUGAGGAAUACAUCGGAAUCUACUUUUUCGUGGGGGAUAACGUAGGGAAACUGACGCUAAUACCGCAUACGACCUACGGGUGAAAUCAGGGGAUCUUCGGACCUUGCGCGAUUGAAUGAGCCGAUGUCGGAUUAGCUAGUUGGCGGGGUAAAGGCCCACCAAGGCGACGAUCCGUAGCUGGUCUGAGAGGAUGAUCAGCCACACUGGAACUGAGACACGGUCCAGACUCCUACGGGAGGCAGCAGUGGGGAAUAUUGGACAAUGGGCGCAAGCCUGAUCCAGCCAUACCGCGUGGGUGAAGAAGGCCUUCGGGUUGUAAAGCCCUUUUGUUGGGAAAGAAAAGCAGCAGGUUAAUACCCCGCUGUUCUGACGGUACCCAAAGAAUAAGCACCGGCUAACUUCGUG
rnacentral:rRNA from 1 species